rnacentral:rRNA from 1 species
AUUGAACGCUGGCGGCAGGCCUAACACAUGCAAGUCGAACGAGUGGCGGACGGGUGAGUAAUGUGUGGGAAUCUGCCUGAUGGAGGGGGAUAACUACUGGAAACUGUAGCUAAUACCGCAUACCAUCGGAUGAGCCCAGAGGGGAUUAGUUCGUAGGGGGGGUAAAGGCUUACCUAGCCGACGAUCUCUAGCUGGGCUGAGAGGAUGACCAGCCACACUGGAACUGAGACACGGUCCAGACUCCUACGUGAGGCAGCAGUGGGGAAUAUUGCACAAUGGGCGCAAGCCUGAUGCAGCCAUGCCGCGUGUAUGAAGAAGGCCUUCGGGUUGUAAAGUACUUUAAGCGGGGAGGCGUUACCCGCAGAAGAAGCACCGGCUAACUCCGUGCCAGCCGCCGCGGUAAUUC